GACGAACGCUGGCGGCGUGCUCAACACAUGCAAGUCGAACGAUGAAGCUAGAGCUUGCUCUGGUGGAUUAGUGGCGAACGGGUGAGUAACACGUGAGUAACCUGCCCCGAACUCUGGGAUAACUGCUGGAAACGGUAGCUAAUACUGGAUACGACCAACGAAGGCAUCUUCUGUUGGUGGAAAGAAUUUCGGUUCGGGAUGGACUCGCGGCCUAUCAGCUUGUUGGUGAGGUAACGGCUCACCAAGGCGACGACGGGUAGCCGGCCUGAGAGGGUGAUCGGCCACACUGGGACUGAGACACGGCCCAGACUCCUACGGGAGGCAGCAGUGGGGAAUAUUGCACAAUGGGCGCAAGCCUGAUGCAGCAACGCCGCGUGAGGGACGACGGCCUUCGGGUUGUAAACCUCUUUUAGUAGGGAAGAAGCGAAAGUGACGGUACCUGCAGAAAAAGCACCGGCUAACUACGUGCCAGCCGCCGCGAUAA
rnacentral:rRNA from 1 species